UAUAAAUGGCAUUAUGAAACAUUAUCUGUCAGUAGCAGACAGCGUGAUGGAGUACAUAGAGAGAGACAAUAUCGCACAGGUUCUUCCUCGCCUCCGAUCAGAGCCAAGCCGCAUGGGUUUAUCUGACACGAGCAGCAGGCAGACGUGCCCGUGUGGAUUGGCAUAAGGUGGCACCCUGAGCUUCAGCAGUCUCUGCAGGACGCAGAGUAGACAUUAAGGGCUCAUGCUCACAAUGUUACUUAGGUUUACAGGCAGAGAGAAAGAGAGCCAGAGCCAGAGCAGCCUGCAGACUUUACAAAACUUUCCAUAUAGCUCGUAAAAAAGCAUGUUCGGAAAAGAAAUAUGGCUGCAGCUAUAAUGUGCCAUGCUGUCUGAACUGAAGAGGAUCAUUGCGGAUUACCAGCCCAGCUCUUCCCAAAACACUAACCAACUAGGUCAAGCUGACCCAGGAGUUGCAGACAGAGCAUAAAAGGAAACUGAAGGUCAGUGGGGAGGGGAUGCCAUUUCUGGGGUCUGAUCUCGCUGCCCAAGAUUAGCGUGGGAAAAAGCACAGGAAGCGAGGACGGCUAAUUACACGGAGAUAAGGAGUAUCUCAUUUCCAGAGGAAAUGUGUGGAGGCUAUUUGUGAAAGGAUCUGUGCAUUCACACAAAGAACAAAGAAGUAAAGAAUUUAAACCAAUCUGACUGCUGUGUCUUUCAUGCAUUGGAACCGUGCUUUUGUGUUUGUUAACUCUGCCAAAUACAAAGACGUACAAAAGCAGCUAAAGACUCUACUAAAUGCAUUUGGUAGAUAAAGAUGAGAAAGCUGACUAUUAGCUCUUAAACGGUAGUUCAUGGAAUUCAUGGCAGUUAUGAUCUGGAGGUCAAAGGUCGAGGACCUGCAAAUCUUACCACAUCCAAGACUAAUGAUGUGUCCAUUCAGUCUUCAAACAACAUGAAAGUAGCACUUGUGUGACAGGAAAGCAGUUGUGAAUCAUGACUCGCCUACGGCAUCUGUGUCAUAAUACUCGGAAUAAACAAUUGUUUAAUCACAAUAGAAGGAAAACUGACAGAAAAAACUGUUUUACCAUGAAAUUAUUAAUUUAGGACAUUUAAAAGAAAACUCAGACAGCUCCUCCGAAUCAACCUGGGGUCAAAUGCCUUGCUCAGGUGAUCAAUAAUGAAACACUGACUCUGUUCCAGAUCUAAGUGAGCUGCCUAUGUAGGCUGCAUCAUAGACACAACACGGUUAACUAUAAAGGGAACUACAGCGAAAACUAGAUUAGCAUCCAUCCACACCAGAGGACGAUAACAUUGUUCAUUAUAAGUGCACUGCAGUUUUGUUGUCUGCUGCUUACUACUGUUUAAAGUUGCGUGGAUUCUGAAUGGCUGUCAAUGUUUUUAUCGUUCAUCAGCUGGAAAAAAUAAAUCGUUCUGAAAGUGAUUCCAACUAUAUCGUUCAUUUGUUUUGUUAUUAUUGUAGUUGUAGACUUCUCCACUCUCAUAGUAUUAGAUCUAUAAUGAAAAAUGUAUAGUUAUAGACAAACCCGGAAACAACUUUACAUCUUAGCAGUUAAUGUUUCCAUCGUCUUGAAGUCAAUGGGUUUUUUGAAUGUGUUUUUAUUUUAUUUUUUUUAAUGUCUGA